AGGGCACCACCAGGAGUGGAGCCUGCGGCUUAAUUUGACUCAACACGGGAAAUCUCACCAGGCCCGGACACCGGAAGGAUUGACAGAUUGAGAGCUCUUUCUUGAUUCGGUGGGUGGUGGUGCAUGGCCGUUCUUAGUUGGUGGAGCGAUUUGUCUGGUUAAUUCCGAUAACGAACGAGACCCUGGCCUACUAAAUAGACGUUAGAUCCCUUUGUGGGUCUAUCGCAGCUUCUUAGAGGGACGGGCGGCGUUCAGCCGCACGAGAUUGAGCAAUAACAGGUCUGUGAUGCCCUUAGAUGUUCUGGGCUGCACGCGCGCUACACUGAAGGAAUCAGCGUGUGUUCCCUGCCCGAAAGGACUGGGAAACCCGUUGAACCUCCUUCGUGAUGGGGAUUGGGGAUUGCAAUUAUUCCCCAUGAACGAGGAAUUCCCAGUAGGCGCGAGUCAUAAGCUUGCGUCGAUUACGUCCCUGCCCUUUGUACACACCGCCCGUCGCUACUACCGAUCGAGUGAUUUAGU
rnacentral:rRNA from 1 species